GUGGGGAAUUUUGGACAAUGGGCGAAAGCCUGAUCCAGCAAUGCCGCGUGCAGGAAGAAGGCCUUCGGGUUGUAAACUGCUUUUGUACGGAACGAAACGGUCCGGGUUAAUACCCUGGGCUAAUGACGGUACCGUAAGAAUAAGCACCGGCUAACUACGUGCCAGCAGCCGCGGUAAUACGUAGGGUGCAAGCGUUAAUCGGAAUUACUGGGCGUAAAGCGUGCGCAGGCGGUUUUGUAAGACAGGCGUGAAAUCCCCGGGCUCAACCUGGGAAUUGCGCUUGUGACUGCAAGGCUGGAGUGCGGCAGAGGGGGAUGGAAUUCCGCGUGUAGCAGUGAAAUGCGUAGAUAUGCGGAGGAACACCGAUGGCGAAGGCAAUCCCCUGGGCCUGCACUGACGCUCAUGCACGAAAGCGUGGGGAGCAAACAGGAUUAGAUACCCUGGUAGUCC
rnacentral:rRNA from 1 species